rnacentral:rRNA from 1 species
GAUGAACGCUAGCGGCAGGCUUAACACAUGCAAGUCGAGGGGUAGAGGAAGCUUGCUUCCUUGAGACCGGCGCACGGGUGCGUAACGCGUAUGCAACCUACCUUUUACAGAGGGAUAGCCCAGAGAAAUUUGGAUUAAUACCUCAUGGUAUAUAUCAUUCGCAUGUUUGAUAUAUUAAAGUUCCAACGGUAAAAGAUGGGCAUGCGUCCUAUUAGCUAGAUGGUAAGGUAACGGCUUACCAUGGCAACGAUAGGUAGGGGUCCUGAGAGGGAGAUCCCCCACACUGGUACUGAGACACGGACCAGACUCCUACGGGAGGCAGCAGUGAGGAAUAUUGGACAAUGGGCGCAAGCCUGAUCCAGCCAUGCCGCGUGCAGGAAGAAGCAUCUAUGGUGUGUAAACUGCUUUUGUACGGGAAGAAACACUCCUUCGUGAAGGAGCUUGACGGUACCGUAAGAAUAAGGAUCGGCUAACUCCGUGCCAGCCGCCGCGGUAAAAA